AUGAAGUUUAAGACCUACAACCUGCUUUUCAAGCUGCUCCUGAUCUGGGUUGCGAGGCUGGGGAAGACCUGCCUCCUUUUACGUUUUCUGAAUGAUGCCUUCAAUUCCACCUUUAUUUCCACCAUGGGAAAAGACUUUAAGAUCAAAACAUAUGAAUUACAAGAAAAGAAGAUCAAGCUGCAGAUAUGGGAUAGGCAGGCCAGGAGCGACUUCCCACCAUCACAACCUCCUACUACAGAGGAGCAGUGGGUAUCGUGCUAGUCUAUGACAUCAUCAAUGGCAAAAAUUUUGAAAACAUCAGCAGACGGCUUAGAAACAUAGAUGAGCAUGCCAAUGAAGGUGUGGAAAGAGCGUCACUAGGAAGCAAGUGUGAUAUGGCUAUAAAAGAGUUUCACCUAAAGGAAACGGAGAACAGAUUGCAAAAGAGCAUGGUAUUAGAUUUUUUUGAGACUAGUACAAAAGCCAGCAUAAACAUUGAAAAGGCCUUUCUCACAUUAGCUGAAGGUAUCCUUUGAAAGACCCCUGUAAAAGAGCCCCACAGUGAGAAUGUAGAUAUCAGCAGUGGAGGAGGCUGGCAGGCAGAAGAGCAAAUGUCGCUGAGGGUUCUCCCGUUUUAUCAGUUGCCAUCCACCACCCCAUUUUCUUGCUGCAAAAAACCCACUCUGCCCAUUUUAAACUCUAAAUAG